rnacentral:rRNA from 1 species
AGACGUAGGGGGCAAGCGUUGCUCGGAAUCACUGGGCUUAAAGGGCGCGUAGGCGGUUAUGUAAGUCUGAGGUUGAAGACCCCGGCUCAUCCGGGGGAGGCCUUAGAAACUGCAUAACUUGAGCGAGCGAGGGGAGGGCGGAAUUCCCGGUGUAGCGGUGAAAUGCGUAGAUAUCGGGAGGAAGGCCUGUGGCGAAGGCGGCCCUCUGGCGCUUAGCUGACGCUGUGGCGCGAAAGCGUGGGGAGCAAACAGGAUUAGAAACCCUAGUAGUCC